rnacentral:lncRNA from 1 species
AGGUACACAAUUCAGGCAGUGGAGAGAAGGCCGUAGGGAGUGGCUGAGAAGUCCCUCAAGAGAAGAGGUUGCUGUUCACUGAUGGUAGAGUGUUUUGAGAGUGGUGAAACCAGGUUAUCCCUUUCUUCUUUUAACAUGUCAUGUGAUUCUCUGAGGGAGCAGCUGCGUGAGUGGAGAUGCUCUCAGUGGUGGAAAAUGGACUGGACCCCCGGGCUGCCAUCCCGAUGCAAAGAGAAAGAUGGUCAUAUGAAGAUGGAGGCAGCAACUGGAGUGAUGUAGCUACAAGCCAAGGAACACCAAGGACUGGCACAACACCAGAAGCUGGAAAAAGACAAGGAAGGAUUCUUCCCUAGAGCCUCCAGAGAGAGCAUGGCCCUGUUAACACCAUUAUUUCAGACUUCUGGCCUCCAGAAUGGUGGGAGAACACAUUUCUGAUUUUUUAAGCCAUCUUCUUUAAGUAAAAGAUUAUCUAUGAUGUUGUAUUUUACAGACCAAGAAACUGAAGCUCAGAAAUGUUGAGUGACUUUUCUUGUCAAGGUUCAUGUUAAAUAGCUGUGACAUGUAAGCAUCUGGUAGUAAAGCCAUGACUAGAAGCAAAACUUUACCAAGUCCAAGUAUGGUGCUUAAUACAAUUCGCUUUGAAUGAUGAAACUCUUGGACAAUCAGCAUACAUUCAUGUGCCAAAUAACAUUAUGGUCAAUGACAGACCACAUAAACAAUGAUGGUCUUAUAAGAUUGUAAUACAGCUGAAGAAUUCCUAUCUUAGCACAAAGCACUACUCAUGUGUUUGUGGUGAUGCUGGUGUAAAGAAACCUACAGUGCUCCUAUUCAUAUAGAAGUAUACCACAUACAAUUAUGUCCA